rnacentral:lncRNA from 1 species
GAAGGAUCGCCAUUGUCUUCCUUCUCCCAAAUGAUAACCAUGACAUCUGGGCAAUCAUUGUCUGGGUGUAUCUAUUUGUAUGUUCAUCAUGAACAAUGACGCGUAGGCCUGCCAUCAUCAUGGCAAGGUCAUGUUUAUGUUUCCGUUCCUUUCCUUCCGCUUUGAGAUCAGGAAUCAACACCUCUUUUGCUUUGAUUGGCACUGGUUUAGGGAACAACAUGGCCACAACAUGGGCCGGCACCUUUACUGGAGACUACAUUAGCUCAUAGGGUAAAGGUAUAGAAAAUCACCAUGCGGCGGAAGCUUGAGGAACCUGCUUGUGCUUAUGAGGAUUCCUGUGAGUGGAAUUGGCAGAAUAGCCUAGUCCGGCUGUUCCAAUUUGACUGGACAUUAGAAUAGGGUUCUUAAUACCCUGUUUAUCUUUACCGAGGCCUUGUCCAGGUUGAUGACCCAAUGACAUCAUUUCUUGAGUGGCCGACAUAACCUCGACAGAAAUCUUGGGCAUGGGAAGUGGCGCUCCAAUAGAAUGGUACUGCAUGUUACUCACUUCCAAAGUAUGGAAACUAGCCGGUUUAACUUCUGAAUUAAAGCUUAUGAUUGGUAGAGUUUUUUGUUCAAGACAAUCCGACUCAACGUUGAUAGUGACUAGACUGCUGUUGAUAAUGUAUUUGAGCUAUUGAUGUAGUGUGGAGGGAACGGCUCCAGCUAUGUGUAUCCAUGGUAUCCCCAAUAGCAGGUUGUAUCCUGAGUCUAUUUUGAGGACGUGGAAGGAUACAUUGAAUGUAUUUGGACCAAUCUCAAGUGGCAAUUCAAUCUUUCCAACGACAUUUCAUCGGGAUCCAUCAAAGCUCUGAUAAUCGUAUGGCUGCUUUGGAUUCGCCUGAGAUUGACAUUCAUCUUCACCAAGGUGGCAUAAGGACAUAUAUUUAGAGAUGAGCCUCUAUCUAUCAAAACUCCAGCUAACAUGUACCCGGAAGACAAAACUGUAAUAUGCAAUGGCUUGCAAUAAC